rnacentral:rRNA from 1 species
CAGGGAAUCUUCCACAAUGGGCGCAAGCCUGAUGGAGCAACACCGCGUGAGUGAAGAAGGGUUUCGGCUCGUAAAGCUCUGUUGUUAAAGAAGAACACGUAUGAGAGUAACUGUUCAUACGUUGACGGUAUUUAACCAGAAAGUCACGGCUAACUACGUGCCAG